UCACUGUCCAGGACAGUGCAGUACUGGAAUGACUUGCUUGGGGAGUCUGUGGUGUCUUCAUCAUGGGAGGUUUUUUCAGAACAAGUUGGACAAACAACAUUUGCCACUGCUCUCUCAGCGAUGUACUGAUGAGUCACGAUGACUUACACUGAGCCUCUGACCCUGGAAGAAGGAGGAGAGGGAUGCUACUUGAAGACAGUGCUGGUGACUGAAGGAGGUGCUCAGGCACCCCUCUUUAUGCAUGCUAGUACUGAAAAAAAGUGGUAUGUGUUUCUCAAGCAAUUAGGUGAGCAGUGGCUCUUCUGUUCCCUGAACAAAUGGUGAAAUGUAUUUUGCAAAGAUUCUAACUUUUAUGUAGUUGGAGAUUUAAAAGGAUCUCUUCCCUUUUUGAGUAUUUAUAUAUGAAAA